rnacentral:misc_RNA from 1 species
GAUGAAGAACGUAGUGAAAUGCGAUAAGUAGUGUGAAUUGCAGAAUUCAGUGAAUCAUCGAAUCUUUGAACGCACAUUGCGCCCUUUGGUAUUCCAAAGGGCAUGCCUGUUCGAGCGUCAUUUGUACCCUCAAGCUUUGCUUGGUGUUGGGCGUCUUGUCUCUAGCUUUGCUGGAGACUCGCCUUAAAGUAAUUGGCAGCCGGCCUACUGGUUUCGGAGCGCAGCACAAGUCCCACUCUCUAUCAGCAAAGGUCUAGCAUCCAUUAAGCCUUUUUUUCAACUUUUGACCUCGGAUCAGGUAGGGAUACCCGCUGAACUUAAGCAUAUCAAUAACGGAGGA